GAAUCUUUCACAAUGGGCGAAAGCCUGAUGGAGCAACUCCGCUUGCAGGAUGACGGCCUUCGGGUUGUAAACUGCUUUUAUAAGCGAGAAAUAUGAUGGUAACUUAUGAAUAAGUAUCGGCUAACUACGUGCCAGCAGCCGCGGUCAUACGUAGGAUCCGAGCAUUAUCCGGAGUGACUGGGUGUAAAGAGUUGCGUAGGUGGCAUGGUAAGUAGAUAGUGAAAUCUGGUGGCUCAACCAUUCAGACUAUUAUCUAAACUGCCAAGCUCGAGACCGUUAGGGGUAACUGGAAUUUCUAGUGUAGGAGUGAAAUCCGUAGAUAUUAGAAGGAACACCGAUAGCGUAGGCAGGUUACUGGGACGGUUCUGACACUAAGGCACGAAAGCGUAGGGAGCAAACG
rnacentral:rRNA from 1 species